AAUGAACGUUGGCGGCGUGGAUUAGGCAUGCAAGUCGUACGAGAAUCGUAGCAAUACGAGGAAAGUGGCGGAAGGGAGAGGAUUACGUGGGAAUCUACCCUCAGAACUGGGAUAGCGGCGGGAAACUGCCGGUAAUACCAGAUAAUGUCUGUGGACCAAAGGUGUGAUUCCGUCUGGGGAUGAGCCCACGUCCUAUUAGCUAGUUGGCAGGGUAAUGGCCUACCAAGGCAAUGAUGGGUAGCGGGUGGGAGAGCAUGACCCGCCUCACUGGGACUGAGAACUGACAAGACACCUACGGGUGGCUGCAGUCGAGAAUCUUCGGCAAUGAGCGCAAGCUUGACCGAGCGACGCCGCGUGCGGGAUGAAGGCCUUCGGGUUGUAAACCGCUGUCGUAGGGGAGCAAGAGAUGAGGGUACUCCCUCUGAUUUGAGCGAUCCUAGGAGGAAGGACGGGCUAAGUUCGUGCCAGCCGCCGCAGUAAUAC
rnacentral:rRNA from 1 species